AUGUGGAAGGGGAACCAUCUGGUGCUGUUGGAGUAUGUGUUAAACGCAGGGUUUGGAAAGAGAUGGAUCUCGUCUCCCUGCAGGAAGAACUUUCCAUCCCUGGGAGCACAGAGCUGUGCCAGGUGUGGUGGAAAGGAGCUUGUGGGGGUCCUGACCUGGUUCCUGCCCAGAGCCAGGUACCUGUGCCUGAGGUACCCCUGGCAGGAGGGCUCUGGCAGCCUGGUCUCGCAGCCAGCCCUGCCUGGGGCUCAGUGCUCUGAAGACAUCCCCUGUAAUUGCUUCCUGCAGGCUCCUCGCUGCUCCAGUGCGGCUGCUCGGGGCCGGGGUGGCAGAAGCUGUGCGUGCGGCUCGGGUCCGUCUGGCAGCUCCCGUCCUGUGACCUGGGCACAGACGGCGGAGCCGCAGCUCCGGCGGGCUGGCGGGCGCCUGCUGCUCAGUCUGGGCACAGGUGCCCGCUGUCUGGGGAAGGAGGGGAGUGGGAUGUGUCCUUUGUCUGCCCGUGGCCGUGGCUGUGGUGUGGGGAUGGCAGCUCCGGGCUCUCAGCAGAGGAUAUGGGGAGGGGAACUGCUGGCAUAGGGCUGUGCUGGCAGGUGUGAACACCUGAGGGAAGGAAGGGCAGCACGUGAAGCCCCAGGAGAGGCUCUGGGUGGGACCUCUGCUCCUGCGUGCUGUGGUGGGGUCUCUGAUACUGACAGGGGUGGGAGGGGAGGUGGAUGGUGGGACUAUGGGCUUAGGAGAGAAGGGAGAAGGGAGAAGGGAGAAGGGAGAAGGGAGAAGGGAGAAGGGAGAAGGGAGAAGGGAGAAGGGAGAAGGGAGAAGGGAGAAGGGAGAAGGGAGAAGGGAGAAGGGAGAAGGGAGAAGGGAGAAGGGAGAAGGGGAGAGGGGAGAAGGGAGAAGGGAGAAGGGAGGGGCUUGGCUGAGGUGCUGGCUGUGCAGUAGGGAGUGGAAGAGCUCUAGGUGGGGUGCAGCUUGAGGCCAACCAGAAAACCGCAUCCAGAAAACUGGAGAAGUAGGAUGAGGCUUGCUGUGGAGAAGGAUGAUGAUUCAAAGAGAAGGCACAGUCCAAGAAGGUGAUGGGAGUUUGGAAGAGUCAAGGCAGUGGAGUCGAAGACUCUAUGAGGAGAGGGAAAGGGAGGUGCCUGAUGUUAAGGUGUUCCCUGGAGAGGCCCGGAGAAGCAGAAGACUUGGGCUGGCUCAGCAGACAGGGCUUUCAGUUUGGUAAAAAUAGUUUAAGGGGGAGUCAGGCAUCUUUUUUUUCCUUCCCAGAGGGAGCACAGAUCAUACUUGCAAUGUGAAGGAGGAAAGCCAGGGAGAGAGAAAAGGUGUGGAGGAAAAAGGAGGAGGAGGAAGAGGAGGAGGAGGAGCAGCGCCCUGGGGCGAUGCUGGAGACAGGGACUGCAGGCAGCAAUGGGGGUGCUGGGGAAGGGGUGGAAGAGGUACCACAGUCAGGACUCCAGUGGCCGAGGAGGGUCAGUGCUUGGUGAUGGUGGAUUUGGUCGAAGGAAAUGACUGCCCUGGAAGGAGACAGGAGUGAAACUCUGGCAGAGAUGGUCACACUUCACCUGGCGCCCUCUGCUUCGGGCUCGGGUGGAAGUCGGUGCUGCUGGGGGUCUGCGCUGCAGGGUGUGGGUGCUCCGGGCUGCCCGGGCCGCUGCUGUCCGUGCUGACUCUGAGCACUCGGCGGCUGGGGGGGCUCGCUGCCCCGUUCCCCAUUGGGAAAGGUGAGAAGGCAGCAGGUAGCUGGAUCUGGUGCAGGGCCGGUGCGGCCGGGUCCUGGCAGCAGCGGGGAAGCUCCGGGCCGGGCUGGGGGACGUGCGGGGGGCUGCGGCCGGGGAAGGCAGCGGGGAUGCUGAAAGGGGCGGCUGGAGCCGGGACCGCCGAAGGGCUGCGUGUGCGUGUUUGCCGGUAGCGGGAUCCCGGUGCUGCUGCCGGAGCCGGUCCCCCCCCCCCCCCCCCCCCCCCCCCCCCCCCCCCCCCCCCCCCCCCCCCCCCCCCCCCCCCCCCCCCC
rnacentral:lncRNA from 12 species